AUUGAACGCUGGCGGCAUGCCUUACACAUGCAAGUCGAACGGCAGCACGGGUGCUGGCACCUGGUGGCGACUGGCGAACGGGUGAGUAAUACAUCGGAACAUGGCCUGGAGUGGGGGAUAGCCCGGCGAAAGCCGGAUUCAUACCGCAUACGAUCUACGGAUGAAAGCGGGGGACCUUCAAGCCUCGCGCUCGCGCGUUUGCCGAUGUCGGAUUAGCUAGUUGGUGGGGUAAAGGCCUACCAAGGCGACGAUCAGUAGCUGGUCUGAGAGGACGACCAGCCACACUGGGACUGAGACACGGCCCAGACUCCUACGGGAGGCAGCAGUGGGGAAUUUUGGACAAUGGGCGAAAGCCUGAUCCAGCAAUGCCGCGUGUGUGAAGAAGGCCUUCGGGUUGUAAAGCGCUUUUGUCAGGAAAGAAAUCCUUGGCCCUAAUACGGUCGGGGGAUGACGGUACCGGAAGAAUAAGCACCGGCUAACUACGUG
rnacentral:rRNA from 1 species